rnacentral:rRNA from 1 species
AUGUUCUGGUACGAUCCCUUAUGUAUGUGGAGUAACACAUUUAAUCUCUCAAUCGACAUCAAUCAGGGACAUACCUUGGAUCACAUCCAGCAAUUUGCCACCCUUUGGGAAAAUAAAAUCCUUUCUCCUGGAGUCCAAGACACAAUCCGUUUGCAAGCAAGUGGAUGGCCAAAUUUUGGUCUCUGUACACUUGCAAGCAAGUCCUGGAAUCAGCAGUGCACCUCCUCUUCAAGUGUCAGCGUAUUGAAUGCCGUGAAGCUGCAUGACCUGCGCCCCUAUCUGAUUGAGAAUAUCUCCUUGCUUCUAGGAGCAUUCGCGUGUGAUGUGUCCAUGUGA